CAAUCAUUUCUACCUUCAAAUCAUGUAUGCUGUUAAUUAAUUCUUCAAGACUAUCAUAUUUCACAAUCUUGAUCAUCUUUUGAGGUGACACUUGAUUCUGAGAUGUAGAUACUAGCUCCAACCUUGAUAUGAAACUACAAGUCUUAAUCCUCUAUUGUUUAGCCAAAGUUCUACUGUUUCUUUUAUUAGCUUUCAAUUAUUUAUAAAAUCACUC
rnacentral:lncRNA from 1 species